GGGCUCACUUCGGCAGCACAUAUACUAAAAAUUAGAACAAUACAGAGAAGAUUAGCAUGGCGCCUGAACAAAGAUGACAUGCAAAUUCGUGAAGCAUUCCAUGUCUAG
ensembl:snRNA U6 U6 spliceosomal RNA